UUUGCAAGAACCUUAAAGGGGCAUAAUUUACCAGAGAGGACCACGAGGAGGAGGAAUGUCCAUAGCUGUGAAACCACAGAGCGGCAGGUACUUCACCAACCUUCAGGAUAUACUGAAUAGUACAAAUGAAAAUCAAUUUUCUGAAAAUAGAAUGAAAGUAUCAAAAGAUAUCAACUAAAUUAUACAUGAAAUAGCAUGAUUCAGUAGAGUAUUAAAAUCUUACAUUUAUAAUAUUAGUAUAAUCUAGCAUGCCUAUAUGAGAAUGCUUUAUGAAAAACCGAUGUAUAAAAACUUGGAGGACCUCCGGUUCAUGAAAAGAGUACUUUUAGCGUUCUUAUUUACUUAACAGUAGAAUAGGAGCAAGAACAUCUCAUUUCAUGAUUCAAUACCCAGAAGUUAGUGGAAAGAUCUAAAAUUUAAAUUUAAAAAAGGAUGCUUGCUAAGCUUGAUGACUAAACUAGAUGCAAUUUACACAGAAGAAACAAACAAGAUAACAUCCAGAGAGAAGAUGCAAUACUUGUUCUGGUUUGAGUGCGAACUUUCUACCCCCAAUGGUAAAGGCAAUGUCAGGCAUUGAUGCAACUUUACUACAGUCCACAGAUGAUUCUCCCAU
rnacentral:lncRNA from 1 species